CAUGUGUGUAUAUGUGUGUGUGUAUGUCCAUGUGUGUAUAUGAUUAUACAUAUACAUACACACAUACACAUAUACGCAAGCA